GGGGAAAAGAGGAUGAGAGAGACUCGGGUGCUCUGAGGCAUCACAUCUCACUGGUGAAGGGAGGGGUGUGAGUCCUUCUCCUUGGAGGAGCAGACUCUGAGCAACCCUGAUGUUUUCUCCAUUGCACAUAAUAUAUAAACUAUGGUUAACUGACAAAAAUGCAUGUUUUCCAAGCUCCCCCAUGGCUGAUGGGUGCUGGAGUGCUGUUUGCUGCCAAUCCUCCUUCCUUUUUGGUGGCUCUGCUGGAAGGGGGAGAGAGGACGUGGCCAGAAAGGGAGGAUCUCCCUAUCAGCAGGUUUUCAGCCAGGCUGUCUCACACCAUGAGGUUUGGAUGGAGCAGGGACUGCUGGAACUCCACAUCUGACUCCCCUGGACCCCCGGCACAGACAGACAUCUCCCUUGGGAAGGGAGACAGAUGCUUGGGAAGGAGGCAGAGCCACUCACUCAGUCCCUCUCAGGAUGGGAAUAAAGGCCUUGU
rnacentral:lncRNA from 12 species